rnacentral:rRNA from 1 species
AUUGAACGCUGGCGGCAUGCCUUACACAUGCAAGUCGAACGGUAACGGGCCUUCGGGUGCCGACGAGUGGCGGACGGGUGAGUAAUACAUCGGAACGUGCCCGUCCGCGGGGGAUAACGAGGCGAAAGCUUUGCUAAUACCGCAUUCGAUCUACGGAUGAAAGCAUGGGACCGCAGGGCCUUGCGCGGACGGAGCGGCCGAUGGCCGAUUAGGUAGUUGGUGGGAUAAAAGCUUACCAAGCCGACGAUCUGUAGCUGGUCUGAGAGGAUGAUCAGCCACACUGGGACUGAGACACGGCCCAGACUCCUACGGGAGGCAGCAGUGGGGAAUUUUGGACAAUGGGCGCAAGCCUGAUCCAGCCAUGCCGCGUGCAGGAUGAAGGCCUUCGGGUUGUAAACUGCUUUUGUACGGAACGAAAAGCCUUCUUUUAAUACAGGAGGGUCAUGACGGUACCGUAAGAAUAAGCACCGGCUAACUACGUG